rnacentral:snRNA from 1 species
UUACUUACCUGGCAGGGGAGAUACCAUGAUCAUGAAGGUGGUUCACCCAGGGCGAGGCUCAGCCAUUGCACUCCGGCUGUGCUGACCCGUGCGAAUUCCCCAAAUGUGGGAAUCUCGACUGCAUAAUUUGUGGUAGUGGGGGACUGUGUUCGCGCUCUCCCCUG